GUGCCAAGCGUGACCCUUUAGAGAAAGGGGCUUCCAUGCCGAAGGUCAAAUUGUGGCCGUUGUUCAGUGUCAAGCGGAAUCCUAGCAACCAAGCCACGUCAGCACAGCAGCAAAAACAGUUUCAGCAGCAGUCGUAUACUAAACAUCAACAACAGUGGUGCAUAUGCAUUAAACUACGAGAGUAAACAAGUUGACUGCGUAAUGUGGCAUCAAAGUCUGCAAGGAGAAACCAUGCAAUUGAGGAAGCCAAGAAACCAUGUGAUAAUUUCAAGCAGCUUACCUACUCUUGAAACCCGGAUAGCAAAGCAUUGAGAUUGUUCUGGAAGCAUUUGUAGUCACAGCUCAUUAAGCAUCCCCCUGAAGCAGGACCCACAGUCUAUGGACGCCAAUUGACGAAAUAAAACUUGUCAUUCAGCAACACAGCAAGUUGCAGCAGUUGUUACCAUCUUGACCCCAGUCAAAACUAAGAGCUCAGAGACAAUCAGCAACACAGCCAGUUGCAGCAGUUGUUACCAUAUUGACCCCAGUCAAAACUAGGAGCUCAGAGACAAUCAGCAACACAGCCAGUUGCAGCAGUUGUUUCCAUAUUGACGCCAGUCAAAAGUAGGAGCUCAGAGACAAUCAGCAACACAGCCAGUUGCAGCAGUUGUUACCAUAUUGACCCCAGUCAAAACUAAGAGCUCAGAGACAAUCAGCAACACAGCGAGUUGCAGCAGUUGUU